GGCGUGGUGGCGCUCGGUGCACAUCUGCAUGUAACUAAUGAUGGGGAUUACGUGUAAUGUUUAGCAGAAGGAUGCCCGUUCGACUCGGGCCCACGCUC